AUGCUAGCAAGGUGGGCAGCAUAUCUGGAGAGGUUUAACUAUCUCAUCGUGCAUAAAUCUGGAAUAACUAGCAGGGUGGCCGAUGCUUUGAGUCGUCGUGCAUGCCUCUUGACUUCUUUUGAAGCUGAACUUCCGGGCAUGGGUCAAAUAAAGGAGUUGUAUGAGGGUGACAAAGACUUUGGCCAUGUUUGGGUAAAGCAUGCAAGGGGCCAACCAUUAGGUGAUGACUAUUUGAUGCCAGAUGGAUAUCUCUUCAAAAAUGAACGUUUGUGCAUUCCAAGAAGUUCUUUACGUCACAAGCUGGUUAGAGAGCUCCAUUCAAGUGAUCUUAGUGGCCAUGUUCGACGGGACAAGACUGUCGCUAGCCUAGAAGCUCGCUACUUUUGGCCACAACUAAAGAGAGAUGCUGGAAAGUUUGUUCAGCGAUGCCCUAUAUGUCAAACCUACAAAGGCCAAAUCCAGAACACAGGGUUAUACAUGCCUUUGCCUGUUCCUGUUGCUCCAUGGGAGGACAUUUCUAUGGACUUUGUCUUGGGCUUGCCAAGAACAAGACGAGGAAGUGAUGCUGUAUUUGUGGUCGUGGAUAGAUUCUCUAAGCUGGCUCAUUUCAUCCCAUGCCGCAAGACAAUGGAUGCUCAUCAUGUGGCAAACCUAUUCUUUCGAGAAGUGGCCAGACUUCAUGGAGUUCUAAGGUCCAUUGUCUCAGACCAUGAUAACAAGUUUCUUGCUGCAUUUUGGCUCACUUUAUGA
rnacentral:rRNA from 1 species